GGGGAUGUAGCUCAAGCAGUAGAGCGCUCGCCUGUCAUGCGUGAGGCACUGGGUUCGAUCCUCAGCACCA
rnacentral:tRNA from 1 species